rnacentral:RNase_MRP_RNA from 1 species
ACCCAAAGUUUACAAACCCCCGUGGACCCUGGGGCUUCCUGCCAAUAUAGCUGUGGGGAAAGUGCGCCGGAUGGUGAUUGCUACUGUGACGAGACGUGCAUCUAUUUUGGGGACUGCUGUGUGGACGCCUGCGAGUGGUGCCCGAUGCUGCCCCAGUGCCUCAUCACAUGCUUACCAAACUCCUGCCAAGACCACUGUG